GCCAAGUGAGGGCACAGCAAAAAGACGACGGUCUGUGAACCAGGAAGCAGAUUCUUACCAGAUGCUGAAUCUGCUGACACCUUGAUCUUGGACCUCCCAGCCUCGAAAACUAGCUGAAAAUCUUCUCCUCCUUCUUCACGAAGCACCUUGGAGCUCUCUUUUUUGUGAAGCCUCUUCCAGCAUCCUCAGUGUAGCCUGUGAGCAGUGUCUGUAGAGUCUACAGCAGCGUACGGUGAUGCCCCAGGCCUUCCAUCACUCACCGCUCACUCACUGACUCACCCAGGGCAACUGCCAGGGCUGCAAGCUCCAUUCAUGGUCAGUGCCCUAUACAGAUGGAGUCAAUCUCUCUUCCCCUUGAACUUGGGCUGGCCUUUGUGACUGCCUCAAGAAAUAGAAUGGGGCUGAAGAGAUGCUCUGCGACUUCCAAGGAUGAGCUGAAGAAGUCAUGCAGUUUCAAUCAAUUUCUCUUGGGACAUUUGCUCUGGGAGCCUUUACCCUCCACAUAAGAAGUGUGGAUACACGGGAAGAGACAGAGAGGGAGAGAAUGGCCUGAGGAGCUUUAGAUGUUUUUCUGACAUCCAAUCUAAAUGUUGGACUUGGGAGUGAAGAAAUUUUUGAAAUGACCCCAGCUCCAACCACUGUCUGACAGCAACCACGCGAGAAAUGCCUGCAGUCCAGUCAAUCCACAGAUUUGCAAGCAAAAUCAAUGAUAAAGUUUUAAAAUACUCCCAUAAAGUGAUUUGUUACUUAGCCAUAAUCCAGCACGUGACAAUUAGUUUCAAGAAAUGAAACAAUUCAAACUUUUCAUUACAUGUUCCACUGAAACGUCUUCUGCCUGAAAUACCGAGUGCCAUCUUAUAACAUACUUUCCAACUUGUAUCAGAAGUACCUCAAAAUUAGAUUUACACAAUUCUGAAGAGAGGGGGACUAGUUAGACCAGAUGUGCUUAAAUUAAGCAUUAAAAGUUUUACAUUUUCUACGAGAUUAUUGAAAAAAUAACCAUCUAUAUAACUUUUAC
rnacentral:lncRNA from 1 species